GUUGUGUGUGAGGGUGAGAAUAUCCUCACAUGGAAACAAUUUUGUUUGUUAGGGAAUUCAGCUUUAAAACGGGAGCAAGGCAUUUAUCUCUUUGAUGCCAUGGCAACCCCCGGGAAAACGCAGAGUCCAACAAUGGGAUAAAAAUGUGCCUUAAGAGUGAGUAAGAAGGAGGCAACCUUGGAUUUCUUUUUCCCCCACUUUCCCUUGAACAGAAGGUUGCAUUGUGUUUUUCCAGCUGACUUUGCUUUCCAGCUAGGCUGCUGUGAGAGGAAAGAGCAAACAAUAAGAAGAACCCUUUUCUCAUGGAAUUUGGGCUCUCUGAAAAAUUGUGUGCUUUCUCAGUGGAGAGAAAGCUCAGUUUCUUUUCUCUAUCUUCCCCUCCCCUUGACAUCUUCCAAUUCAGUCAUUUUUAUUACAAGUUUCUCAAUCCUCUAUACAUUUUCCUCUCCGGAUAUGCCACUUGUCUUCUUUGGAGCUGUAGGGCUGGAUUGAUCUUUUCUCUAUGGUCACUGUUUUCUUCUAGGUAAAUUGAACUCCCCCAAGCCACUGAAGAUUGCUAAGGGUCCUCAUUUUGGCAACAUAGAUCCAAAUAUUGUGAUAACAGAGGUAGCCAAAGGACUUCGUCUCCAUUAUAUAGGUAAGUAAUGAUGAUGCUGAGCUUUCUCUGUGGUCUGUGCCAUGUUUCCUUCUAACAUGACAGCAGCAUCAAUACAACAAGGAUAGUUGACCGUGGUGCUGGGUUUUACAUUAAGGUCCUGUGUGUUUGGACUUAAAAACUUUAGUCCACUUAGAAGCCACCAGCAACCUGAGCAAGUGGCCCUAUAGUUUUAUACCUCAAACUAGUGUAAACACUGCUUUUCAACUAAUACAAAGAAAAGGAAUUGGGGAGGGAGGCCUUUCGAGUGACUUUAAAGAAUUGCACAUUGUCAGUUUGGCAACCAGAGGUGCAGUAGAGUGGAGGACUCUAUGUGGCAGAGCCAGGCCUUGACCCAGUGUGACCCCCUGGUAUCAGGAACCACAGGAGACUUGUGCAGCUGCCUGGCCUCCAACUGGCCUGCGAGGCUGGUCAUUCCAGGAAACUGGCAGUGAUGGUAUCAUUCCUAGGAGCAUGAUUCAGCCAAGAAGAAUGAAAACUUUAGAGCCAUGAAGGCUAACUGUGGAGGAUGGAAGGUUCAUCGCAUUCAUCUUUCUUUCCUGAGCACCCAUCAGUAAAUAUUGCCUUAAGUGAGAUGUACAAAUUCUAGCUGCUGCUCAGAACUGAUGGUUGUAUGGCCUGUAGAAAAUGUCUUCAUUUCUUUAAUAUUUUUUUUGCAGCUUACAUAAAUUUUCUUUUUUCCUGGAUUGGCCCUUGUGCAAAAAAACAUUGCUUCCCACAGUUAUAAGCCAUUAUAAAUGAUGUGUACCACUUCCUUAGUUUCCCAUCAUUUGGAGUCUAGUGAGGAGACACAGAUUAGUAGAUAAGGUCAAAUUCAACUCAAUAAAAGUUGGGGGUUACUUCAGUCCUGAGCCAGGUACCAGCCUGGCCCAGGGGAGCUUAGUAUGAAAGUACCUUAUGAGGUUGAACAUUUGUAUGGUAUUGUACAGUAUGUUUAAAAAGCCUAUCACAUAGAUGAUCUCAUUUGACUUUCACUGUAAGUAAAACGAAGGUAUCAGUACUGGUAUCAGUGAUGAACAGACUCAUAUGCGUUCAGGAGCUUUCUCAUGAUGUCCCUCUGCCAGCUGGACAGGGUCCAGGGACCUCAGGAAAACCAUAUUCUUCAGUUUAUGUGGGAUAUUGCACAUUUCUAGGACUGCAAGUGUUGAUGAGAGGGUAGGGGUGUGUGUACUUGGGAAGGAAACGCAUAAUUCAGGUGUUCCUGAACAAAUUGUGAUCCAGAUGUUGUCCAGCCCUUUUGAAUCUGACGACAAUGCUAGUGGAUUGUCCCAAGUUAAAGGAAUUUGGAUCAACCCCUGGUAUCAAUUUGGUAUCAGGUUUGAUAUAUAGUAGACAGAGCUGUUUAACAAGCUAUGUUCUUCAUCCUGUUGAUAAGGGAGAAACAGGAAGAUAUGAAGUUAUGCAAGGGAGUGUGAGCGGUCCAAAGCUGAAACAAUUUCAUUUGCUAAAGCGAUCUGAGGAUUAGCAUGUCUUUGCAUAAUACACGUAUAUAUUUAGCACAGUGCCUGGCACUGGCACUUAGUAGGUACUCAAUACAUGUUAAUAAGGUAAUAAAUAAUAGAUUAUGCAUGGUCCUGUUAUGGUUUUUAAAACAUUUUUUCAUUAGUCUUGAGUUCUGAUUCCUCUAUUGCUUUUGGAUGCCAGGUUAUUCUAUGUGCUUACUUGGUUCUUGAUGUACUAGUUAUGCAAUAAAAUCUGAUGAAGGAAUAAAUGAAAGAAGGAAGGCUUGCAGUGAUAUUUUGUAUUUACUUCUAAGGCAAUGUGGAUAUUCUCUAUUCCAGAAGAACUAAAAAAGAUUCACAUUCAUUGGUGUCAACAUUUCCACGUAUUUAUAAUUUCCAUUAUAUUAGGUUGGUGCAGGUGUAAUUGCAGUUUUUGCCAAUAUUAAAUAUAAUAGUGUUAAUAAAUUAAUUUAAUAUUAAAAUGUUAAAAUAAUCAGUAUUUUUUUCUUCUCUUCUUUUUUUCCUUCUUGAUAGACUUUCUUGUGUAGUCCUUAAAAAGCAGGACAAUUCUACUUUUUAAGUUGGCACUUUUGAAAGUUAUUUCAUUGAGUAUUUACGUAUUAGUAGACUGCUUGGUUCAACUUCUUACAGUGGACGUACAUUUUGGCCCAGAACUCAAGUGUGAAAAAAAUUAAUUUUUUUUUCUGUCUGAUGAUAAAAUUUUGAAGUGACAUUUCUACCAGGAGUUGGAAAACUUAAUCUCCAUCAGUUAGUAUUUUUCUCCUUCUAAUUCUUAAUUUGAAAUCUAAAUUUGGGAGAUAUUUUGGAGGCAAGAGGUCAAGUGCAAUGGAGUGAAUUCCUGCUUUAGACACGAGGGCAUCUGCCAGGAAUCUUCAUGCCUAUCUGCUUCCUGGCCAUCGGUCCACACAACACAGAUUGCUCUGCCAUCUUCCCAUCCCGAAUCUGAUGCCUUUUAUGUUGCUAGCUCCCUCCAUUACUUGGAUGCACCUUUUGGGUACAAAGGCAACAUUUGGCUCUUCUUACACUUUGUUGGGACACAGAGAAUUCCGCCAGUUCCUUUUGCUUAAGCACCCCACAGAACUAUCUCUUCUCCACUAUUACUUUACUAAGUUGGUGACAGAAACGCUUUAGCUCCUGAUGCCUCUGCAGGAUAUCCCUCCCCGAGAGUGUAAAGAUUCUCUGCUGUUGAAUCUCCCAAAUCAAUCUGGGUUUCUGUGAAUUCCACCAUCACAGGGGACUCAACUCAGGGAGGGUAGAGAAGAAUUCUUCUUCUGGAGGACGUGCCAUUGCCGCUGCCUGCCCUCCAGCUCUUCCUUCCCAACGAAUCUGGCUGUGAAGAUUUAUCUCAUCUGUGGUUUCGGGUGGAGGAAGAGGGUGAUGUUCUGGGCAGGGAUGUCUUUGAAUUAUGCUGAAUUCUUUAAAAACUUCUGUGAUGCCUUGAGUUCCCAAGAGUCUCAGGUUGCAACUUCAAAGACAAGAUUUUGAUUCUCAGAGCUUUACAGUUGUCAAAUGCUGACAACUCUUUAAGGUUCACUAGGUUUCAUUGGGUCAGCCAAUGUUAUUUGUUACCAAGCACUUAUUAUGUGCCAUGGGCCUGGUGUGAUAUUAGGUCACCACUAGGAAAUAAAAGGAGAAAUAGGACAGGAGCUAAACUAAAAGAACCCAAGUCUUUCAUGAUUGUGUGGAGGUGGGUAUUCAAUUUAAUAAUUAUGUACUGAUAUAGUUUGGCUGUGCCCCCACCCAAAUCUCAUCUUCAGUUGUAGCCCCCAUAAUUCCCAUGUGUUGUGGGAGGGACCCAGUGGGAGAUAAUUUCAUCUCUGGGAUGGUUUCCCCCAUACUGUUCUCAUGGUAGUGAAUAAGUCUUACGAGGUCUGAUGGUUUUAUAAGGGGAACUCCUUUUUGCCUGACUCUCAUUCUCUUUUUGCCAACUGCCAUGUAAGACAUCCCUUUGUUCUUCUUUCAUCUUCUGCCAUGAUUGUGAGGCCUCCCCAGUCAUGUGGAGCUGUGAGUCAAUUAAACCUCUUUCCUUUAUAAAUUACCCAGUCUUGGGUAUGUCUUUAUCUGCAGCAUGCAAAUGAACUAAUACACAUAUUGAGCAUUUUCUAUUUAUCAAGAACGUGGCCGGGCAUGAUGGCUCAUCCCUAUAAUCCCACCACUUUGGGAGGCCAAGGUGAGCAGAUCACUUGAGUUCAGGCAUUUGAGACCAGACGUCCUCAUGCCUACCUGGUCGCUGGUCCCUAGUCCACACAACACAGAUUGCUGUGCCAUUUUCCCAUCCUGAAUCUGAAGCCUUUUAUGAAGCCAGCUCCCUGGUGAAACCCAUGUAGAAAUUCAAUUCUACAAAAACUACAAAAAUUAGCUGGGUGUGGUAGUCCCGGCUACUCGGGAGGCUGAGUUGGGAGGAUUGCUUCAUCCUAGGAGUUCAAGGUUACAGUGAACUGUGACCACUCUACUGCAUUCCAGUCUGGGCAACAGAGAAAGUCCCUAUCUCAAAAAAAAAAAAGAAGUGUGCUAGGUACUAACAGCAUAUUAAUGAACAAGACAAAUUCUUAGAUGACAAAAUGUGGUUAAAAGCUUGAACUCUGGAGUCAGGUGGCUAGUUUAAAGGGUGUCUUUUGUGAUCUUAACUGUCUGAGUCUCAGUGGGCACACAUGCAAGGAAAGAACAGAAAUAAUAACAUCCAUUUUAUAAAUUGGAAUGAGGAUUAAACUGAUAUAAUAUUAAUAUAUAUGAAAUAUUAAGCACAGCACGUAACACAUAAUAUCAGAUAUCAUAUGUGGACUGGCUCAACAUCUCUUCCAAACUCUACUGUGCCUCCUUGUGAAGCUUGCAGAACUGUGUUGUCCAGACUCCCUUACAGCUAGGAUUCCAUAUAUAAUUUAGAGCCCUCCUACCAGAUGGAUUUGUUUCCUGAAGGUUCAUGAUUCUGGGUUUGACUAUAUUAACCUGCAUGAGAUUUGUAUGAAAUAGUACCCAUAUUCUUUUACCCUCGGAACACCGGGCAUAGUUGCAGCUCAUGCAUGUAGUCUCUGUCCAGUGGUUCCCCUUGUUGGCGUGAGGCAGUAAGGCAUGGUUUCUAUUAAUAUUUUCAUGGAGCUAUGGCUUAGCAAGAGAGAAAAUGUUACAAGUGUGACAUGUUCUUUUUCCUUGCAUUGAAAAGAUUUCUUUUGACCCUUCUCCCAGUUCCCAGAAGGAAAGUAGUGUCUUUUCCUUGCUACAUUGAAAGAAAGCUGGGGCAGAGGGCAUCUUGCUAAAAUUAAGAUA
ensembl:lncRNA